UACGGAGGUGGCAAGCGUUGUUCGGAAUUACUGGGCGUAAAGGGCGCGUAGGCGGCCUGACAAGUCAGAUGUGAAAGCCCCGGGCUCAACUCGGGAAUUGCAUCUGAAACUGUUUGGCUUGAGUUCUGGAGGGGAUGGUGGAAUUCCCAGUGUAGCGGUGAAAUGCGUAGAUAUUGGGAGGAACACCUGCGGCGAAGGCGGCCAUCUGGACAGAGACUGACGCUGAGGCGCGAAAGCUAGGGGAGCGAAC
rnacentral:rRNA from 1 species